AUUGAACGCUGGCGGCAUGCUUUACACAUGCAAGUCGAACGGUAACAGGCCGCAAGGUGCUGACGAGUGGCGAACGGGUGAGUAAUGCAUCGGAACGUGCCCAGUCGUGGGGGAUAACGCAGCGAAAGCUGCACUAAUACCGCAUACGAUCUAUGGAUGAAAGCGGGGGACCGUAAGGCCUCGCGCGAUUGGAGCGGCCGAUGUCAGAUUAGGUAGUUGGUGGGGUAAAGGCUCACCAAGCCGACGAUCUGUAGCUGGUCUGAGAGGACGACCAGCCACACGGGGACUGAGACACGGCCCAGCCUCCUUCGGGAGGCAGCAGUGGGGAAUUUUGGACAAUGGGCGCAAGCCUGAUCCAGCAAUGCCGCGUGCAGGAAGAAGGCCUUCGGGUUGUAAACUGCUUUUGUACGGAACGAAACGGUCCUGGUUAAUACCUGGGGCUAAUGACGGUACCGUAAGAAUAAGCACCGGCUAACUACGUGCCAGCCGCCGCCGUAAAAC
rnacentral:rRNA from 1 species